GAAUAAAAGACAUGUGUCCGCCGCCAAAAGUUAUUGCCCAGGAUCUCAGCCUGGCACCCUAACUUUUCUUCAUCAGGG